AUGGCCUUGGAGAUGUCCCAUAUGGUGAUACAAAGAGAUUCCCCCUGGUUGAAUGACACUGGAUAUCAGCACUGUGGAUGUGCUGGGGCUACACAAGUCUUGUAGGUCACAGCUCUGCAAAACAGAUGGUGUCUUCAAGGCAGGGGAGAGCUCUGGACAUUAAUUGCUACCAUACUUAGACCCAGAAGAGAAGCAAGUCUAGUGUGACUUACUCCUGGUCUGCUACUCCAAGAGAGAAGAAGACCCAGCUAGUGUUUGAGGAGCCUUGGGGGAAAACUGAGUCAAGUUGUAGAGAGAUGCAUAACUCAAGUUAUAGAGUCAUGAGAGAUGCAUUUGUCACCAGCAGCUGGAUCCAUCCUAAGGAGGAGAGUAUUCCGGCUACCCUGCUAUGCUUUCUUGGAACUGAAGUGUGAUUAUAUGCUAAGCCACCAGAAGUAAGUGGAGAAGGCCCAGAAGCCAGGAUGUCAAACAUUCUGAGAAUUCUUACAGAAACUGACAUACCCUACCAUGACUGUUGGAGCCCUGAAGAAGCAAACUGGGCCAUAGGAAUGUGAUGCCAAAAUGUCUACCC